GACGAACGCUGGCGGCGUGCUUAACACAUGCAAGUCGAGCGGUAAGGCCCUUUCGGGGGUACGACGAGCGGCGAACGGGUGAGUAACACGUGGGUGACCUGCCCUCAGCUCUGGGAGUAAGCCUGGGAAACCGGGUCUAAUACCGGAUAUGACUCCAUGACGCAUGUUGUGGGGUGGAAAGCCUUGUGCGGCUGAGGAUGGGCCCGCGGCCUAUCAGCUUGUUGGUGGGGGAUGGCCUACCAAGGCGACGACGGGUAGCCGGCCUGAGAGGGCGACCGGCCACACUGGGACUGAGACACGGCCCAGACUCCUACGGGAGGGCAGCAGUGGGGAAUCUUGCGCAAUGGGCGAAAGCCUGACGCAGCGACGCCGCGUGAGGGAUGACGGCCUGG
rnacentral:rRNA from 1 species